rnacentral:miRNA from 1 species
UCAAGAAGUCAGAGAUUAUUUGUGUAUUCCUGAAUUUGUGUGUGUGUGUGUGUAUGUGUGUAUAUAUAUAUACACACACAUACAUAUACAUAUAUACAAAA